rnacentral:rRNA from 1 species
GGGCCCGCACAAGCGGCGGAGCAUGUUGCUUAAUUCGAUGCAACGCGAAGAACCUUACCUAGGCUUGACAUGCACGGAAAUCUCGCAGAGAUGCGGGGUCCGUAAGGGCCGUGCACAGGUGGUGCAUGGUUGUCGUCAGCUCGUGUCGUGAGAUGUUGGGUUAAGUCCCGCAACGAGCGCAACCCUCGUUCCAUGUUGCCAGCGCGUGAUGGCGGGGACUCGUGGGAGACUGCCGGGGUCAACUCGGAGGAAGGUGGGGAUGACGUCAAGUCAUCAUGCCCCUUAUGUCCAGGGCUUCACACAUGCUACAAUGGCUGGUACAGAGGGCUGCGAUACCGCGAGGUGGAGCGAAUCCCUUAAAGCCGGUCUCAGUUCGGAUCGCAGUCUGCAACUCGACUGCGUGAAGUUGGAGUCGCUAGUAAUCGCAGA